AUGUAUUCUAGAGAUGCGAAAGCAGAAACGCAAAAGAAAAAGACGAAAGAACGCAGGAAAAGAGUAACGGAACAGAAAGACGAGAGACGUGGACAAGGGGGCAAAUUUCUCCGCGAUCUUGGUUCCGGAUUAAACUUUAAUUGAUUCAAGUUCGUGGUCUCUCUCUCUCUGUAUUCAGCGAGGCGCAUAGAAGAGGAGGGAAGCACUGCCUCUCCCUUAACGGAGAUCCUGGCGUAAGGUAUGACGGUCCUUCUCUUAUUCCAUUCAAUGUCCUGCAGCAGGAUGCGCCCAUUAUUCCCUUCCGCGGUAGGCCGGUGGAAACGUAUCAACGAGAAGAAUACAAUAAUUCUGAAGAAGGGUAGAGAGGAGUCUCGUACUACAGACUUGGCCAGACUCCGCCUAUGAGAUUUCCCACUCAAAAACCAUAUCGUAAAACUCUCGAGCGACGGUAUAAUGAAGAGGCCAAGAGUCUCAAGAACCAAGAAAACUACGGGAUGAGAUAGCAGUACGAAGAAGAAGUAGGAAGAAGAAGAAGAAGAAGAACAGGGGCAAGAACGAGAACGAGGAAAGCUUUGCCAAAGGAGUCAUCAUACGGACGCAGGAGAUACAGCUAUUUCGAUCGUGAAGGGAGGAUUAUGCGGGACCAUAAAGCCACGCGACCGGAGACGCCCGGCAGGCGCGUCGCGGUGCCGGAGACGUUAGCUCUUCCGGCUUCCUAGGAAUAACUAAGUUCUCGGCGUGUACUCUCUCUUGGUGAACGCCCUGUAUACUGAAGCAGCGACGGCGUGCCCGGGUCACAGGCCAUUAAGUCUCAGGUUCACCGCAAUAAGGACCGCGUUCCGCUCCGUGCAAUGGGUAACCGCUAUUACCAAGCCAAUGAGCCGCGUUCACCGAUUCCGCCAGAUUUUUCCCAUUCCCGGAACUAGGAAAUUCGAUGCGCUCUUGUCGGCACCUAACUAGUUACAACCGUCCCUUCAAUCGUUCUCAAGAUAUCCAGGAUACAUUAUUAGUAAUUAUAUAUC